UCUCUGGUGGUCCAGUGGUUAGGACUCUGCACUUGCACUGCUGGGGACCCGGGUUCAAUCCCUGGUUGGGGAA